rnacentral:misc_RNA from 1 species
GACGAAGGUGGCAACCGUUGUUCGGAAUCACUGGGCGUAAAGCGCGCGCAGGCGGCGAUCUACGUCUGGGGUGAAAGCCCGGGGCUCAACCUCGGGACUGCCUUGGACACGGGAUCGCUUGAGAAUUGGAGAGGCAAGGGGAAUUCCACGUGUAGCGGUGAAAUGCGUAGAUAUGUGGAGGAACACCAGUGGCGAAGGCGCCUUGCUGGCCAAUUUCUGACGCUGAGGCGCGAAAGCGUGGGGAGCAAACAGG